GACGUAGGGCGCGAGCGUUGUCCGGAUUUAUUGGGCGUAAAGAGCUCGUAGGCGGCUUGUCGCGUCGUCCGUGAAAACCUGCAGCUCAACUGCAGGCUUGCGGUCGAUACGGGCAGGCUAGAGUUCGGUAGGGGAGACUGGAAUUCCUGGUGUAGCGGUGAAAUGCGUAGAUAUCUGGAGGAACACCGGUGGCGAAGGCGGCGUUCUGGACUGCAACUGACACUGAGGAACGAAAGCCAGGGGAGCAAACGGG
rnacentral:rRNA from 1 species